GGUGUUUCUAACCUGUUCCCUUCAUGAUGAAACUUUAACUAAAAGUGUUUCUCACCUGAAACUUUAUCUAAAGGUGUUUCUCACCUGAAACUUUAUCUAAAGGUGUUU